GGGGAGUACGACCGCAAGGUUGAAACUCAAAGGAAUUGACGGGGGCCCGCACNNNCNGUNGAGUAUGUGGUUUAAUUNGACGCAACGCGAAGAACCUUACCAGGUCUUGACANUGAUGGACAGAACUAGAGAUAGUUCCUCUUCUUCGGAAGCCAGAAAACAGGUGGUGCACGGUUGUCGUCAGCUCGUGUCGUGAGAUGUUGGGUUAAGUCCCGCAACGAGCGCAACCCCUAUCUUAUGUUGCCAGCACGUAAUGGUGGGAACUCAUGAGAGACUGCCGCAGACAAUGCGGAGGAAGGCGGGGAUGACGUCAAAUCAUCAUGCCCCUUAUGACCUGGGCUACACACGUACUACAAUGGGAGUUAAUAGACGGAAGCGAGAUCGCGAGANGGAGCAAA
rnacentral:rRNA from 1 species